GAAAAUCCAGAAGGGUUUGCUACGACCAUUCUUACCCCCAAAAUUUCCAUUCGUACCAGUUACAGACAUCGCAGGAGAAGUUAUUGAGGUUGGCUCUGCAGUGCAGAAGUUCAAACCUGGCGAUAAAGUUGUGUCACUACUCAACACUUUUAGGGGAGGUGGACUAGCUGAGUAUGCCAUAGCUCCGGUAAACAUGACAGUAAAUAGGCCUCCAGAGGUAUCUGCAGCCGAAGGUGCUGGCCUACCGAUUGCCGCCCUCACCGCUCUUCAGGCAUUGAAGUCUGGAGGAGCCAAGUUCGACACCACCGGCAA
rnacentral:misc_RNA from 1 species